UUCAGUUAUGCCUAGGGCACAACCUGCACAGGAACUCAUUGUCCCCAACGAGAAAUGUGACCUUUAGUGACUCACUUUUUCUCAGAGGGGAUGGCAGAGCAGCUACACUCUGCAAGAGCAGCAGGCGAGCCUGCAUCUGAGCUCUGCUUCUAGAAGGGGUGGAGGAUUUGCUGCUUUAGGGGGGCAGUACUGCAGGAUUCCAGGUGGUCAUGCAGCAGAAGCAGCAGUGAUCUGAGUGUCCCACAAAGGUUUAAAUUACCAGUUGGCUCUGGGUAAAUGUGCUGCACUUGGCCAUAGCAGUGGGGCUUUCUGGCAGAGGGUUUGUUCACAUUAAGGUUGCUCUCUAUGCUGCUGGGAUGCCACCCUAAUGUACCAACCCAGGAAGAGAGCUGAGUGAGUGUCAGCCAACACUUUGAGACACCACACAUGGCAGGAUGACAGCUGGUGGUCAGGGAACAUCAGGACUGUUGUCAGC